rnacentral:rRNA from 1 species
AAGGGCACCACAAGAACGCGUGGAGCAUGUGGCUUAAUUUGACUCAACGCGGGAAAUCUUACCGGGUCCGGACACACUGAGGAUUGACAGGCAAUAUUAUAAUUUUUUAAUUGAAAUAAAUUUUUAUUAAUUUAUUUUUUUUAUUUUUUAUAUGUUAAAUAUGCUAGUCCUUUCAUGAUUAUGUGAUAGGUGGUGCAUGGCCGUUCUUAGUUCGUGGAGUGAUCUGUCUGCUUAAUUGCGUUUCACUAUUGGGCUUAUAUAAUUACGUAUGUUGUUAACGCUUUGACCCCUUUCUACGGAUUGUGCGUGUCUUUGUCUCGUUUAACUCAUACAAUUAAGCCCUGAAAGCAACGAACGUGACCGCAACCUCUUGUUGCUCUCAUAUUACCUUAUACUGCAUAAUAUUUGAAUAAUUUAUUUUAUUUUUUUUUAUGUUUAAGAGAGCUUUCUAAACUAGAGGGACCGCUGUUACUUUCUUAAACCAGAGGAAGGUUGCGGCAAUAACAGGUCUGUGAUGCCCUUAGAUGUUCCGGGCUGCACACGUGCUACAAUGAUUAUUGCAGUGAGCAUCUCAUUUUUUACACAUCGCAUGCGCGAGUCCAUUUAUUCAGAUAUCUUUCAUUACUUUCGGGUAAUGUAGUGUUUGCUUUAAAUGUGUAUCUCUGCGCGCGAUAAAGCCUGCUUCGAAAGUAAGUGGGUAAUCAAUUAGAAGUAAUGAUUUCCUUUUUUUUUCUGCACACAUAUAUAUGGCACUUAUACCCGGGUAACCUUGUUGUUACUUUUGUGCGUAUACGUGAUAAUCUUUACCGAUUAUACUACCAUAUGUGCAAUUGUCAAUUCAUGGUGGGGACAGACCAUUGUUAAUUGUUGGUCUCGGUCUUAACUAGGAAUGCCUUGUACGGAUCUUUGGUUCAACAAACCAUCCGGAAUACGUCCCUGCCCUUUGUACACACCGCCCGUC